CCUACGGGAGGCUGCAGUGGGGAAUAUUGCACAAUGGGCGCAAGCCUGAUGCAGCCAUGCCGCGUGUGUGAAGAAGGCCUUCGGGUUGUAAAGCACUUUCAGCGGGGAGGAAGGCGGUGAGGUUAAUAACCUCAUCGAUUGACGUUACCCGCAGAAGAAGCACCGGCUAACUCCGUGCCAGCAGCCGCGGUAAUACGGAGGGUGCAAGCGUUAAUCGGAAUUACUGGGCGUAAAGCGCACGCAGGCGGUCUGUCAAGUCGGAUGUGAAAUCCCCGGGCUCAACCUGGGAACUGCAUUCGAAAGUGGCAGGCUAGAGUCUUGUAGAGGGGGGUAGAAUUCCAGGUGUAGCGGUGAAAUGCGUAGAGAUCUGGAGGAAUACCGGUGGCGAAGGCGGCCCCCUGGACAAAGACUGACGCUCAGGUGCGAAAGCGUGGGGAGCAAACAGGAUUAGAUACCCUAGUAGUC
rnacentral:rRNA from 1 species